CCCCACUUAAUUCUUUCAACAACCCUAUAAGGUGGGCAAACUGGGCAGAGAGGUGACGGAAGAAACUUGCCCCAGGUCACGGCCAAGGGGAAAGCAGGACCUAGUCCGCAGUCUGGCUCAAGGGCCCCUGCCCCACCCCAUCCUGCCAUCCCAGCAGAGUAGGAGGUGAGUGGGGACAGAGAGAGAAGACGGAUGGACACUGGUGGAAGUGGAUGGCGGGAGCCUCGAAGGGGAAGGAGCAGUUGAUAAGCUCACUGGGCUCAGAAAUGAAAGUGACCACCCCUGAGCGCCAUGGUUCACACUAUCUAGCAGAGAAAAACUGGAAAAAGCAGGCCCAUCCGAGACUCUCACUGAACUUUACAAGAACACGUUAAAACUGUGUGCCUUAUAAAAUCAAAGAAACCUUUUUUUUUUCCCUUUCAAGAUACAAUGUACAUUGAUUUGGCUUCAGGUGUAAUAACUUUUUGAAAUUUCAAGAAUGUAAAGAGGACAAUGAGUGUCCUGUGUUUGUAGAAAGGGGGACAGGUUAAAAAUGGGAAAUACUGAACUGGUCCACAG